UACAGAGGUCUCAAGCGUUGUUCGGAUUCAUUGGGCGUAAAGGGUGCGUAGGCGGCGCGGUAAGUCGGGUGUGAAAUCUCGGAGCUUAACUCCGAAACUGCAUUCGAUACUGCCGUGCUUGAGGACUGGAGAGGAGACUGGAAUUUACGGUGUAGCGGUGAAAUGCUUAGAUAUGACAUAGAACACCUAUUGCGAAGGCAGCUAACUACGCGAAUAUUGACGCUGAGGCACGAAAGCGUGGGGAUCAAACAGG
rnacentral:rRNA from 1 species